GAUGCCUGAUCUCAUCAAUCUAGCGGGAGAGACAGGAUAACCUGUCCGAGAGUAUAGCGCCACUAUGACUCCGCCGGAAAAAUUACUUUAAAAAUCGCCAAAAAUUACUUGGAGCAAAGGGCAGUCGGCGGAGCUUCGCCAAGGCUGGCGCAGUCGGUUUUGACCUGUAGCAGAGAACCAAUUCUGGAGAACAGCCUCACUUCUUUGAUUGAAUACUUACAUAAUGCAUUGGAACAUGACAUGAGAUUAAGGUUUAAUAAUGAUAGAAUGAAGACCACAAUAAAAGAGACCUCUACUUAGCUCAGCAAUUCUUACCUUUCUUACCUAUUUGAUGAAGAUGUCUUUUGAAAGGUGUACUGCAAGGAACAAAAUGUUUGUAAAUUCUCCUUUUACCAAGGUGGAUAAUUACUGUACCUUCCUCAUGGAAAAAGUUUUAUUUAAAGUGUUAUUUCUCAUUGAAUACUAUCAAAAAGGAAAAAAAAAUGACCUAAACUUUUGAGAUAGAUUUGGCUCUAGUAAGUAUUUAGUUAUAUCACUUGCAUAUCUGGGAGAAGAAAUAAGAGACUAUCAUCAGUACAUUCCCAUCUACUAAAAAAAUUUAUUUUACACAUGUCAAGGGAUUACUUAUAACUUCCAUUUUAUUACUAAUAGCUUGAACCCUUUUAAUGAAGACCUAACUCCUCCACCAGAAAUUUAAGUUUAUGUUCUUACUUUGUUUACUUAUAAAAUACAUCUCAGGUAUUUCGGAUGUCUUUUUUUUUUCUAAGCCUAUAUGAAAUGAAAAAUAUAUUGGCAAAAUAAAUGUUUAAACCUUUUACGUUAAAAUUACUUUGAAAGAUGAAAAGUUAGUGCUGUUUUUGUCUACGUUAUACUGAAAUUAAAUGUUUAUAAUUUAUAUUUUGGGUUUAUGUAUAAAUCAUGGAAUUUAUGCAAAAAUAUGAGUAGUACAGAUUCUCCUCUAAUUCUGUAGGACUUUGAAUAAUGUGAUAUUUUUCUUAUAAUUGGACCCUUGUGUUUUGAAGAAAUGCCAACUGCUUGAAGAAUCUCCUUGUUAUUUGUAUUAUUUGCUAUAGGGUUAGAUGUUGAGAAAUUCUGCUGACAAAAAAUUUUAAGCCAGUUUUACACUAAAUGUUCCUCAGUCUGAUUAAUUUGUUAUUGGAUGUAUUCUGUAUCUUUCUUUUGUAAUUUGUAACUUUUAUCCACUUAGCACGAAUGAUUCUAUUAAAGAAAAUCAUUAGGAAGUGGUAGAAA
rnacentral:lncRNA from 10 species